UCGAAUUUUUGAAAAACAUUUGAGGGAAAUUACCUGCUCUAAUAAAAACCCUAAAAAACAAGUGAUGGUGAAGAGGUAGUAGAUGGAGUGGUUUCUGAUAUUUGUUUGGGUGGGUGUAGUAGUGUGGCUGGCUUCUCUCUGCAAGAUUCUUCAUGUAUCGAUUUAUCCGUACGGAUCUUCCUUCUUAAGUAAUAAUGCAGCUGGAUCUUCUCAAAAGAGAAAUGUGUUGCUGGUUAUUGCCCAUCCUGACGAUGAAUCCAUGUUCCUCUCCAACAAUUGACAGUUUUGGAU